GCUGUUGAAAGGAAAAAUGUCCUCACUGCGUGCAAGUGCCGGAAGAGCAGGAGAUUGAAAUCUGCAGCAGGGAGCCAAGGAUAACAAAAGACUUCCACACUGCAGUUGGAUGGCUGCAGAGA